UCGAGAAUCUUCCGCAAUGGACGAAAGUCUGACGGAGCGACGCCGCGUGCGGGAUGAAGGCCUUCGGGUUGUAAACCGCUGUCAGUAGGGAGGAAAUUUUGACCGAUCUACAGAGGAAGCACAGGCUAAGUUCGUGCCAGCAGCCGCGGUAAUACGAACUGUGCGAACGUUAUUCGGAAUCACUGGGCUUAAAGGGUACGUAGGCGGCUUUGUAGGUCAGAUGUGAAAGCCCACGGCUCAACCGUGGAAUUGCGUUUGAAACCACAAAGCUUGAGGGAGACAGAGGUGAGCGGAACUGAUGGUGGAGCGGUGAAAUGCGUUGAUAUUAUCAGGAACACCGGUGGCGAAAGCGGCUCACUGGGUCUCUUCUGACGCUGAGGUACGAAAGCUAGGGGAGCGAACGGGAUUAGAUACCCCCGUAGUCC
rnacentral:rRNA from 1 species